CAGUGGCGAACGGGUGAGUAACACGUAAACAAUCUGCCCCUAAGUGGGGGAAAACCUGGGGAAACUCGGGCUAAUCCCCCGUAAGGUAAUGAGAACGCAUGUUCUUAUUAUUAUAGAUUCAUCGCUUAGGGAGGAGUUUGCGUCUGAUUAGCUAGUUGGCGGGGUAACAGCCCACCAAGGCUUUGAUCAGUAGCUGGUCUGAGAGGAUGAUCAGCCACACUGGGACUGAGAUACGGCCCAGACUCCUACGGGAGGCAGCAGUGAGGAAUAUUGCGCAAUGGGCGAAAGCCUGACGCAGCAACGCCGCGUGUAGGAUGAAAUCCUUCGGGAUGUAAACUACUGUUGAAGGGGAAGAAUAUCCUGAUUUAUCGGGAGAUGACGGUACCCUUAGAGAAAGCCACGGCUAACUCUGUGCCAGCAGCCGCGGUAAUACAGGGGUGGCAAGCGUUGUCCGGAAUUACUGGGUGUAAAGGGUGCGUAGGCGGGUGAAUAAGUCAGUGGUAAAAUCCUACAGCUUAACUGUAGACCCACCAUUGAUACUGUUCAUCUUGAGUGCAAGAAAGAAGAUUGGAAUUCCCAGUGUAGCGGUGAAAUGCGUAGAGAUUGGGAAGAACACCAGUAGCGAAGGCGGAUCUUUGGCUUGUGACUGUCGCUGAUGCACGAAAGCGCGGGGAGCAAACAGGAUUAGAUACCCUGGUAGUCCGCGCCCUAAACGAUGAGGACUAGGUGUCGGACCGCAAGGUUCGGUGCCGCAGCUAACGCAUUAAGUCCUCCACCUGGGGAAUACGGCCGCAAGGUUGAAACUCAAAGGAAUUGACGGGGGCCCGCACAAGCAGUGGAGCAUGUGGUUUAAUUCGACGCAACGCGAAGAACCUUACCUGGGCUCGA
rnacentral:rRNA from 1 species